rnacentral:lncRNA from 1 species
GGAUUUAUGCCAUUGACUCCCCUGGCUCUUGGGCCUUUGGAUUUGGACUGGAACUACACCGCUGGCUUGCCUGGUUCUCCAGCUUGCAGAUGACAAGAGCAUUCGACAUCUCGGCCUCCAGAAUCAUAGACAGUGUUUCAAAAUGCAGAAGCAAAGAAUAAAUGUUGCAGUCUUUUGAAAGGAAAGUAUUACAAUGAGAGAAAUAUUAUUAAAACAUACACCUUGAAGGGAAAUCCUUCAGCACAAGGAGUCAACUGAAGUAACAACUGCAAGAGUUUUAUGCAGUUGAAGGACAAAUAUAACUAGAUUUGCCUUUUGAAUAUUAUCAGAGAAUGCCAGAAUGUUAUAGUCUGCUAAGAGUGAAGGUUAUUCACUGAAGACAGAUAUGAAGUUCCAGAUGUGUAUGGCUCAAAGUGGAAGCUCAACACAUUUUCCUAUGUGACUUUACUGCAUGCUGCUUCAACUGCCUCUUGCAAUGAAUGAGUUUCUUCCCACACUUUUCUUCCUGUUUGCUACAAAUGUGUUGAUUAAAUUAAAUGUGGCAGAGGCGAAGAGAAUUUAAGUAACUUGACCAAGAUUUCAUGGCUCAUAAGUGGUGCAGCUAGGCAUACAACCCAGACUUCUGACUCUAGAAAUCAUGCUUUCAAUCACAUCACUAUCCUGCUUCCCAUAUUAGUGAAGUCAGUAAGCUGCUGAGAGUUCUACUUUUUCUUAGGUUGUGCUUCAAGGGAAGUUUAAGGCCGGCAAGGGAGAAGAUGCUUCUCAGAGGUUUGGAUAAACCUGCCUUUUUCAUCAUCCUGAACAGGUCCUAAGCUUUCUGCUAGGUAUAGAGAGAGUCAUCCUCCCUUCUGCCUCCACUGCUUAUGUUCACAUUUUCUGCUUCCUAUUAGCCUGGGCUGGGGUCAGUCUUACUCAUUUUUUUUUUUUUUUUUUUUCAAGAAACAUCCAAUUACUUCUCAGACUAUUAUAAGAUUAGAAAGAGAGCUGACUAUAAUGGAGGUUGUUUCUGUUAACUACUUCUGUGUAAAAGACUACCUCAAAACUUAGUGCCAUGAAAGGAAGACCCUUUGUUAUUUCUUAUGCUUAUGCAAUCUUGGAAAUGAUUUGCUUUCCUUAAGGACAGAUAAUAAUAGAUGCUAAUAACUUAUUUCUCUUUCUGGCACCCCAACACCCUAAAGCUGGUGAGGUGAAAUGUGGGGACCUUACAGACUGUUCUUCUCAGUGAUUGCAGGAAUGUUUUAAUGUCAGCAUCAUAUAUAGAAAGAGCAUUGGACCAAAUAUAAGACGACUUUGGGCUCAGUCUUUGUUCCACCAUUUGGUAGCUAUGUUAACUGGAGCAAACCAUAGUCAUUUAAAUUCUGAGUCAAAAUCUUAAUAUGGUCAAUGAGUUAGAUACUCACCUCACUGGCUUGUUACCGUAUGGUGGAGAUAGAUUAACAAUGUGCAUAGGCUGUUUUGAAAAAGGUCAAACAAUAAACCAACAAUACCUAGUG